rnacentral:rRNA from 1 species
GUAAAUGAGGGCGUAUGGGGAAUGCCUAGGCUCUUGGAGGCGAAGAAAGACGUGGUAAGCUGCGAAAAGCUGCGGGGAUUUGCAAACAAGAUUUGAUCCGGAGAUUUCUGAAUGGGACAACCCGUCAGGUAGAAGACCUGACACAUCGUAAGAUGGGCCAACCCUCUGAACUGAGACAUCUUAGUAGGAGGAGGAAAAGAAAGAACCAUCGAUUUCCUAAGUAGCGGCGAGCGAACGGGAAACAGCCUAAACCACAAUUGUUACGGCAACUGUGGGGUUGUAGGACUGCAAUAUUCAAAUGACUGUGAACUGGAAUGUUCUGGAAAGUUCAUCCAUAGAGAGUGAAAGACUCGUACAGGCAAGCACGUCAGGCGAUAGCAGUAUCCUGAGUAGGGCGGGACACGAGGAAUCCUGUCUGAAUCCGCCGGGACCACCCGGUAAGGCUAAAUACUCCCAAGAGACCGAUAGUGAACCAGUACCGUGAGGGAAAGGUGAAAAGAACCCCGAACAGGGGAGUGAAAUAGAACCUGAAACCAUACGCUUACAACCGGUCGGAGCAGCUUCGUGCUGUGACGGCGUGCCUAUUGAAUAAUGAGCCUACGAGUUACUAAUCACUGGCGAGGUUAAGUGCACGGAUGCACGGAGCCGAAGCGAAAGCGAGUCUGAACAGGGCGGCUAGUCAGUGGUUGUAGACGCGAAACCUUGCGAUCUACCCUUGAGCAGGUUGAAGGUUGGGUAAAACCAACUGGAGGACCGAACGAAUAAGCGUUGAAAAGCUUCUCGAUGACUUGAGGGUAGGGGUGAAAGGCUAAUCAAGCUGGGAAAUAGCUCGUACUCCCCGAAAUGCCUUUUGGGGCAGCGUUGUAAUAAAGAGUCUACUGGAGGUAGAGCUACUGAUUGGAUGCGGGGGCUUCACCGCCUACCAAAUCCUGACAAACUCCGAAUGCCAGUAGUAUGAUUUACAGCAGUGAGCGACCGGGUGCUAAUGUCCGGUUACGAGAGUGGAACAACACAGACCAGCAACUAAGGUCCCCAAGAGUAUACUAAGUUGAUCUAACGAUGUUUUGCUGCAGAGACAGCUAGGAUGUUAGCUUGGAAGCAGCUAUUCAUUCAAAGAGUGCGUAACAGCUCACUAGUCGAGCGACAGAGCGUGGAUAAUAAACGGGCAUCAAGCAUAUCACCGAAGUUCUGGGCGCGAGAGCGCGGUAGGGGAGCAUUCCAUUCAGCGUCGAAGCAGUUUCGUGAGGAAUUGUGGAGCGUAUGGAAAAGCAAAUGUAGGCAUGAGUAACGAUAAUGCGGGAGAGUAACCCGCACACCGCAAGACCAAGGUUUCCUGAUCAACGCUAAUCGGAUCAGGGUUAGUCGGGUCCUAAGGGUAAGCCGAACGGUGAUCUCGAUGGAUAAUCGGUUAAUAUUCCGAUACUAACAUAUACCUCGAUGGAGAGACGAAGGAACGUAAGUGCCGCCACCUGACGGAAUAGGUGGUUAAAGGGCGUAGGUAUAGGGGCAGAUUAAGAGUUAGUCCUUGCUGAAACCUGACAGUACAGAGAGCCUACGGGCAAUUUGAUAGAGCACCCAAGUCGACUUCCGAGAAAAUCUUCUAAGUUAUAGUAUAUGUUACCCGUACCGUAAACCGACACAGGUGGUCGAGGAGAGUAUCCUAAGGUGCUCGAGUGAAUCACGGUUAAGGAACUAGGCAAAUUAACCCCGUAACUUCGGGAAAAGGGGUCCCAUCGCGAGGUGGGCGCAGCGAAGAGGUCCAGGCGACUGUUUAUCAAAAACACAGGGCUCUGCAAAUUCGAAAGAAGACGUAUAGGGCCUGACACCUGCCCGGUGCUGGAAGGUUAAGAGGGGAUGUCAUCGCAAGAGAAGCAUUGAAUCGAAGCCCCAGUAAACGGCGGCCGUAACUAUAACGGUCCUAAGGUAGCGAAAUUCCUUGUCGGGUAAGUUCCGACCUG